rnacentral:rRNA from 1 species
UUUGAUCCUGGCUCAGGAUGAACGCUAGCGGCAGGCCUAAUACAUGCAAGUCGGACGGGAGGGUUCCCUUCGGGGGGCCGAGAGUGGCGCACGGGUGCGUAACGCGUAUGCAACCAACCCCGCGACUGGGGGACAGCCGGUGGAAACGCCGGGUAAUCCCCCAUGCCCAGCGAGGGGGGCAUCCCCUUUGUUUGGAAGGCAGCGAUGCGGUGCGGGACGGGCAUGCGUCCCAUUAGGUAGUUGGCGGGGUGACGGCCCACCAAGCCCGCGAUGGGUAGGGGAUCUGAGAGGAGGUCCCCCACACUGGUACUGAGACACGGACCAGACUCCUACGGGAGGCAGCAGUAAGGAAUAUUGGGCAAUGGGCGGAAGCCUGACCCAGCCAUGCCGCGUGAGGGAAGGAGGCCCUACGGGUCGUGAACCUCUUUUUGACCGGGGACAAUGACGCCCACUAGAUGGGUGUUUGAGGUUACCGGUGGAAUAAGCAUCGGCUAACUCCGUGCC